rnacentral:rRNA from 1 species
AGAGUUUGAUCCUGGCUCAGGACGAACGCUGGCGGCGUGCUUAACACAUGCAAGUCGAACGGUGAAGGGACCAGCUUGCUGGUUCUGGAUGAGUGGCGAACGGGUGAGUAACACGUGAGUAACCUGCCCCCUUCUUCUGGAUAACCGCAUGAAAGUGUGGCUAAUACGGGAUAUUCUGGGUCUGUCGCAUGGUGGGCCUGGGAAAGAUUGCGCCUUUUUUGGUGUUUUUGGUGGGGGAUGGGCUCGCGGCCUAUCAGCUUGUUGGUGGGGUGAUGGCCUACCAAGGCGGUGACGGGUAGCCGGCCUGAGAGGGUGGACGGUCACACUGGGACUGAGACACGGCCCAGACUCCUACGGGAGGCAGCAGUGGGGAAUAUUGCACAAUGGGCGCAAGCCUGAUGCAGCGACGCCGCGUGAGGGAUGGAGGCCUUCGGGUUGUAAACCUCUUUCGCUCAUGGUCAAGCCGCGACGUGGGUUGUGGUGAGGGUAGUGGGUAAAGAAGCGCCGGCUAACUACGUGCCAGCAGCCGCGGUAAUACGUAGGGCGCGAGCGUUGUCCGGAAUUAUUGGGCGUAAAGAGCUCGUAGGCGGCUGGUCGCGUCUGUCGUGAAAUCCUCUGGCUUAACUGGGGGCUUGCGGUGGGUACGGGCCGGCUUGAGUGCGGUAGGGGAGACUGGAACUCCUGGUGUAGCGGUGGAAUGCGCAGAUAUCAGGAAGAACACCGGUGGCGAAGGCGGGUCUCUGGGCCGUUACUGACGCUGAGGAGCGAAAGCGUGGGGAGCGAACAGGAUUAGAUACCCUGGUAGUCCACGCCGUAAACGUUGGGCACUAGGUGUGGGGGGCCUUUUCCGGGUUUUCCGCGCCGUAGCUAACGCAUUAAGUGCCCCGCCUGGGGAGUACGGCCGCAAGGCUAAAACUCAAAGGAAUUGACGGGGGCCC